GCUCUUCCCAUCUGCAGUAAGACCAAGAAGAAAAUGGCCGAGGUCAUUAUUGUCCACAUUGUUCAAAAGUGGAGAGAGAG